rnacentral:tRNA from 1 species
GCGCCUGUAGCUCAGUGGAUAGAGCACUGGCCUCCGGAGCCAGGAGCGCAGGUUCGAUCCCUGCCAGGCGUACCA